GAUGAACGCUGGCGGCGUGCCUAAUACAUGCAAGUCGAGCGAACGGACGAGAAGCUUGCUUCUCUGAUGUUAGCGGCGGACGGGUGAGUAACACGUGGAUAACCUACCUAUAAGACUGGGAUAACUUCGGGAAACCGGAGCUAAUACCGGAUAAUAUUUUGAACCGCAUGGUUCAAAAGUGAAAGACGGUCUUGCUGUCACUUAUAGAUGGAUCCGCGCUGCAUUAGCUAGUUGGUAAGGUAACGGCUUACCAAGGCAACGAUGCAUAGCCGACCUGAGAGGGUGAUCGGCCACACUGGAACUGAGACACGGUCCAGACUCCUACGGGAGGCAGCAGUAGGGAAUCUUCCGCAAUGGGCGAAAGCCUGACGGAGCAACGCCGCGUGAGUGAUGAAGGUCUUCGGAUCGUAAAACUCUGUUAUUAGGGAAGAACAUAUAUGUAAGUAACUGUGCACAUCUUGACGGUACCUAAUCAGAAAGCCACGGCUAACUACGUGCCAGCAGCCGCGGUAAUACGUAGGUGGGCAGCGUUAUCCGGAAUUAUUGGGCGUAAAGCGCGCGUANGCGGUUUUUAAGUCUGAUGUGAAAGCCCACGGCUCAACCGUGGAGGGUCAUUGGAAACUGGAAAACUUGAGUGCAGAAGAGGAAAGUGGAAUUCCAUGUGUAGCGGUGAAAUGCGCAGAGAUAUGGAGGAACACCAGUGGCGAAGGCGACUUUCUGGUCUGUAACUGACGCUGAUGUGCGAAAGCGUGGGGAUCAAACAGGAUUAGAUACCCUGGUAGUCCACGCCGUAAACGAUGAGUGCUAAGUGUUAGGGGGUUUCCGCCCCUUAGUGCUGCAGCUAACGCAUUAAGCACUCCGCCUGGGGAGUACGACCGCAAGGUUGAAACUCAAAGGAAUUGACGGGGACCCGCACAAGCGGUGGAGCAUGUGGUUUAAUUCGAAGCAACGCGAAGAACCUUACCAAAUCUUGACAUCCUUUGACAACUCUAGAGAUAGAGCCUUCCCCUUCGGGGGACAAAGUGACAGGUGGUGCAUGGUUGUCGUCAGCUCGUGUCGUGAGAUGUUGGGUUAAGUCCCGCAACGAGCGCAACCCUUAAGCUUAGUUGCCAUCAUUAAGUUGGGCACUCUAAGUUGACUGCCGGUGACAAACCGGAGGAAGGUGGGGAUGACGUCAAAUCAUCAUGCCCCUUAUGAUUUGGGCUACACACGUGCUACAAUGGACAAUACAAAGGGCAGCGAAACCGCGAGGUCAAGCAAAUCCCAUAAAGUUGUUCUCAGUUCGGAUUGUAGUCUGCAACUCGACUACAUGAAGCUGGAAUCGCUAGUAAUCGUAGAUCAGCAUGCUACGGUGAAUACGUUCCCGGGUCU
rnacentral:rRNA from 1 species